rnacentral:antisense_RNA from 1 species
AGCGGCCGGACGGAUCUUGGUUGCAAGAGGGAGAAAGAGAGGCCGGGUGCCUGGGAGGGCGCGGAGCUGCUGGAGCGCGGUCUGGACCGCGACCGCGACCGCGGCGGUGGCGGUGGGGAGCUAGGGUCACCUUGUGAAGCGAGCGCUCCUCUGUGCCGCACCGCCUCUGGGAGGAAGCCCCAUUGCCCUCUUCUUUCUAAGCUGUCAUCCUCCUGCUGCAAUCGUCAUUACAGUACCGCUGGUGACGCCACUCGGCGAGCGCAAGUGGAUAAAUAGAAACGUCUGCCACAGCGAAGAUGAAAGGAAACCCGCAGCUAAUGGCUCGGCAGUGAUGCGCCAGGUGUGGGCCUCGCUCGAUUGGGGAGGAGAGUGUGAAAACAGACAGAGAGACACACACACUGAGAGAGGGAGACACCCAGGCAGAGGGGAUGCAAAUGGAAUGCCGCAGAAAGAAAAGAGAGCUUAACGCGCGCGGCGAGUUCCGCAGGGGCAGCGGGACUAGAUGGCCUUAAGUUUUCCACAGCCUGGCUUCAUCUUGAGAUGGCUAUUCGUACAAGAAGUCGCUUUCCCGUUUGCCUGGACC